UAUAAUAUGUUCGUGAUAGUGCUAUCAUACAUGUAUGUACCCAUUUGAUAUGGCAAGAAAAAUAACAUACCGUGAGUGAUGGAAACGAAAUAAUAAAAAGAAGCCACUUUUGCAUAGGAUAAAAGAUACACAUCGAAAGGUUUUUUUCUUUAAAUUGGAGUGAUCAAAUUAAGUUUGUCACUUAGUCAACAUAGUUUAAUGUACCUACUGACAAUAUAAGAUGGUGUUCUCUAACCUAUUCGAUUAAAUGAAAGACACAAAUUGAGCCCACCAGGAAAUGAAAAUUAGUAAGUUAUUCUUUUUAAAAGUAUUUAAUAUUUUCGAGCAUCUAGGACCACAAGGCUUUAGAAAAGGAUAAAUAAUUCGCAAAUCUGACGCAGUUGUAUAUAAGAUCACUGUUUUAGAUUGCACACAACGUCACAAGUGAAAACACCGAUGUAAUACUCGAAAUCAGGAAAUAACCACCAUCUCUCUCAGAGGUCGUCUUUCUCAUUAUUGUGGGGAAACCUCAAAGGGCAUCAGGAAAACCUUCAUCAACCUCUUUGUGCCCAGUGGCUUUUGCAACAGUGUUUCAGAAAUUAUCAUUAAAAUGGGGAUAAUGGAUGACUGGCCACACAUAUGGGGCUAUGGACAAGCUUCAGAGCAGGCUGCCAGCUACAUUAGAUGACAAGCCAUCUAUGCUGGACAUUCUUCACAAUAAAAUGUGAUGUCACAGGAGCUGUCUAUCUCAACAGCUCACACUGUCCGUAUUUGACUAAAGGAAUGAAUGAAGUCACUGCAGAAGUUGGAUUGAGGAAUGUCCAUGUCACUACCCAUCAUUUGGAAGGAGUUGGAUAAAAAAAGUGUGGCCUAUGUAUUGAAACUGGUCCGACAUUCCAGUUACGGACAGUCUUGAUUUGUUUGAUUACAUUUCUGACCAACAUGAUGGUCUAAAAGAACACUUACUGGUAACUGGUAAAAUCAUGGCCCAGUUGUUCCAAGAGGCAGGCGAGUUGGAAGUUACUAGACUCCAUUUCUUUAUGGGUUGAUCUGAGGUUCCAGUUCAGUUAAAGUACUGAUGGAACACCAAGUGUUUGCCAUAAUACAGCAACAUUUGAUUUGUAACUAUGUAUUUGUUUGAAUUGUUGAAACAGUACUGUUUACUAAGUAAUGUGUAUAUAUAUGAAGAAUAAUAUAAUAAAAUAAUUUGUAAGAACCUUUUGAUAUUAAGUAAAAUGUCGAUAAGUCUAAAUAUGUAUCUGUAAAUCAUUUUUGUAUAUCUGUAAAGAUUACAUUGCCUUUAUUUGUCGCGUAACGCCAACGCUCACUUAACUUUCGUGAUAGUUCGUUCAGUUAACAACCAACAACUGUUCAAGUGUUCAUAGUCUUUAUUUUGUUAUGUACCUUCUUAAGUAUCAUACGGGCUAUAUGUCUAGUUCAUGCCCAAAACCUAACCUAAACUUAACUGUGUAACAUGCUUUCAUAUAUACUGCUGAUUUCGUUUGUGACAGGUGUGCAUAUUUAAUUUCUUGUUAUAUACAAAAAGAUGUAUUCUACAGCCAUGAACUGUCACGCUAAUUGGUCUAAUAGCCAGCGGCUAUCACGAACUGUCAGCAUCUAAGUAAAUCUACAUUUGAUCACCAUGAUGAAGUAUUUGCUUGUCUAAUAGCCAGCGGCUAUCACGACUGUCACCAGCUAAGUACAUCUACAUUUAAUAAUUAUGAUGAAGUAUUUGCUUUUUGUUACAAAUAAACUUUGAAUUCUA